GGUGCAUUAGCUAGUUGGUGAGGUAACGGCUCACCAAGGCGACGAUGCAUAGCCGACCUGAGAGGGUGAUCGGCCACAUUGGGACUGAGACACGGCCCAAACUCCUACGGGAGGCAGCAGUAGGGAAUCUUCGGCAAUGGACGAAAGUCUGACCGAGCAACGCCGCGUGAGUGAAGAAGGUUUUCGGAUCGUAAAACUCUGUUGUUAGAGAAGAACAAGGAUGAGAGUAACUGUUCAUCCCUUGACGGUAUCUAACCAGAAAGCCACGGCUAACUACGUGCCAGCAGCCGCGGUAAUACGUAGGUGGCAAGCGUUGUCCGGAUUUAUUGGGCGUAAAGCGAGCGCAGGCGGUUUCUUAAGUCUGAUGUGAAAGCCCCCGGCUCAACCGGGGAGGGUCAUUGGAAACUGGGAGACUUGAGUGCAGAAGAGGAGAGUGGAAUUCCAUGUGUAGCGGUGAAAUGCGUAGAUAUAUGGAGGAACACCAGUGGCGAAGGCGGCUCUCUGGUCUGUAACUGACGCUGAGGCUCGAAAGCGUGGGGAGCAAACAGGAUUAGAUACCCUGGUAGUCCACGCCGU
rnacentral:rRNA from 1 species